AUUUAAAUAGCUUAUAUAUGUGUAGAGCAUAACAUUGAAGGUGUUAAGGAGAUAACAUUAUCUUUAAAUA
rnacentral:tRNA from 1 species